GAGAGAUUUCGUACGUCGUGACUGAGUGAGUGAGUGAGUUGGUGCGUGUGCGUGCUACCGCGCGUAUACGCUCUCUCUCAUUCUUGGGAUCGUUCGCGUGUGUGUUGUGUAUGUAUGUGUAUAUAUAUAUAUAUAUAUAUAUAUAUUGUCGCGCGCGCGCAUUAACGGAAUUCACGAUCAGCACGCAGGGACUCUCAACAAAUGUUUAAAUGGACGCAUCGUCCAUUAUCACCCAAGUGUCGCGGGAUGACGAGCUAGGCCAAUUUAAUAAUGGGAAAGAUGCUGGAUGGAAUCUGCACCUGUUACGGGACUGCACCUCGCUCCUCACCUUACCUCACCUAACUUCUCACCUCUCACCCCUCUACUCCUCCCUUCCACUGCUAUUCGCCUAUACUUCACUUCCGACGUCUCUUUUCCUCUCGCCCUCGUUUUUGCCUGGCCUCGCCUCGUUUUGCCUCGCCUCGCCUCUUCACAAAUCGUGUCUCCUAUCCUUCUCCCCCUCUUUUUCUUUCACCUAAGUUUCGCGUGUAACUUAUUGCAUCGUGUCGUACCCAUACCUUGCCGCCGUUUUAAUUCACUUAAUCCGAUUCGUGUACUCGAUACUCAAAUAUUGCUUGGACGAAGCCAAACAAUGUUUAAAUUAAGAUAAAAUAAAAAUGUUCCUCUCCCAUUUCUUAAAACUGUCAAAAUAUAUGCUUAUAGAAAUAUUCUACUAUCCUAAAAAUGCUCAGUUACCACAAGAGAAUGAAGUGAACAGCACCGGUUCAGCCAGUGGCAAAAAGCCAAGAGGGCGUGGGCUUCUGCGAUCUCUACUUUGUUGCCUCGGUAGAGGACGUGGAAGUAGUUCUAAAAGUUCAAAGACAAGCUCGUUACAAGGCGAUGGACAUGGUUCUCCAUCCCUAAGGACUGGAUCCCCAAGGUUCCUUCUCCCACCUGUCAGACAUCAGGAUAUGCACAAGAAGUGCAUGGUGAUUGAUUUGGAUGAAACACUAGUGCAUAGUUCUUUCAAACCAAUCAACAAUGCCGAUUUUGUUGUUCCUGUAGAGAUUGAUGGGACAGUGCAUCAAGUGUAUGUUUUAAAGAGGCCUUAUGUGGAUGAAUUCUUACAGAGAAUGGGUGAACUGUACGAGUGUGUAUUGUUCACAGCAAGUUUGGCUAAGUAUGCUGAUCCAGUAGCGGAUCUGCUUGACAGAUGGGGAGUGUUUAGAGCAAGACUGUUUAGAGAAUCUUGUGUUUAUCACAGAGGAAAUUAUGUUAAAGAUUUAAAUAAACUAGGGCGGGAUUUACAGCAAAUUAUUAUUGUUGAUAAUAGCCCCGCCAGUUACAUUUUCCAUCCAGAUAAUGCAGUACCAGUGGCAUCAUGGUUUGAUGAUAUGACAGAUUCAGAACUAUUAGAUCUAAUUCCAUUUUUCGAGAAGCUCAGUAAUGUGGAAAAUAUUUAUACAGUCUUGUGCAAUAGUAAUCAUCCUUAUAAUCAAGUACCUCCAGCUGUACAAAAUAGUCCAAGCCCAGGGUCAGGUUCACUUGGUGCUUCCUAGCCCUACCUAAAUUCUGGCCAAGUAGCCAGUAUUAUCAUCGCUCAAUGCACUCUGAGGAGAACUUUGAUUGGAAUAUUCCACAUUGCUUGCUUGUUAUGUAGCAAUGGACAACCAGAGACGCUAUAAAAUAACAUUGAGGAUGAUGGCUUUCGUCUGCUACCAGUUGAGCGACAGAGAGAGAGAAAGAGGGAGAGAAAGAAUACAGUACAUUUAGAUUUAUUAUAAAAGCAAAAAAAAAAAUGCGCCGAGAAAACUGUUAGCGCGAGAAAGGUGUAGCGAAAACGAUCGUGAUACGUAAUUAGAUAUAUAUAUAUAUAUAUAUAUAUAUAUAAAUAUUUAGGUAGACCAAUUAAUUUUUAAUGCGCGAUACUUUCGUACAGCGACGCAACGGUGUCUUCGAAUUCGUAGCUCUUCGCCGCUGUAAUCUGACAUAUAUACAUAUACAUACAUAUAUAUAUAUAUGUACAACGCAUACAUACAUGAAAGUACAAGAGCUGUUACUCUUAUUCACAAACAGGGAGCGUACAAGUGAUAUAUUUUUGAUUAAAUUCAAUUGUACAAUAUCAUUCGCUUGUAUGAUUACGUUUACGAUACCGUUAAAUACUGAGCUAUAUCUUGAAUUUGUUAAGAGCCCACUAUUAUACGUACCAGUGAUUUUAUUAAAAUUAAUUAUAAAUUUAUCUAUACCUGUAUAUGUGUAAUGUUCGUUGCUAUGAAGUGUAGGUUUACUUAGCGAUCUAUGAUAGAAACGAUGGAAUUUUAAAAGAAAAUGUGAGGGGAAAGGAUAAGUAGAACGAAUUCUGUGUCGUUACUUUUAUUGGCGCGUUUGUCAUUGCAUUAAUUUCGAAUGAUUAUUGUUAUCGGCUAGAUUCGCUCCGAAAUAAAGCGACUAUUUGGUAACGAUAUAUCGUGUUGCAAUACAGCAAUAACGAACCGCUAACAUUUUUCUCAGUGCCGAAAAAACAUCGUUACUUCGCAGCAGCUUUGCUGUAGUACGAAAGAAGCAAAUAUAAUAAGAGGAUUUAAUUUUGAAAGAGAGGAAAAAGAGAACGCGUGUGUGCAUGUGUGUGUAUGAGCGCGCGCGCGCGCGCACGUGCGUCUGUGUGUGUGUAACAUGGAGAGUAUAAUUUAAAAAAGAAAUUUUUUAAAUGAAAUAAAAAUAAUAGAAAGAGAAAUAACAGAAAUGGUAAAAACCGUUCGCCGGGCGACGGGCGCAAAGUCGAAACUGAAAUUUUUUAUAUGUAAUCAGUUUAAAUGAAUGUGAAUGGCGAAGAGGCGAAAUAAAGGAAAAAGCUCGAGACUCCAGUCGUGUUGCCCUGUUACAUCCUGAACGAUUGCUAAAUUAUUGUAUCAUUAUUAUACAUACAUUGUACAAAAAAGUGAAACAAUUCGUCACAAAUGGAAUGAAAUUACAUACUAUACUAGGGUUCAUAAUAUCUCGUCGGUAAAAUGUGUGAACGUGUCCGCGUGAGAUAAAAAAGAAAAUGAAAAAAAGAUACUAAAAACAGAAUGAGAGAUGCGAGUAUGCAUGUGUAAAAAAAAAAACAAACGUAAUUAACGAUAUUGCCUUGAUUUGUAAAUAAAAUUUAAUUACUUCCACUAAUGAAAUCUUCUCUGCGGAUACCGAGCGGGCCGCGAUCAGUCCACGCGGGCUCACCAUCUUCGAUUUCGUAUGUUUUUUACUAAAAAGCCGCAAUUGAUUUUUUAACAGCGAGUAUAUUUUGUACAGUAACGGAACAUCAAAUAUAUAUAUAAAUACACAUACACACACAUAUAUAUAUACAUUAUAUAUAUGUAUUUUUUAAAAAACGUGGAGGUGAGCCCUGUGCAUCGUACCAGAAGAAUCAGCUAGAUUAUGUAAAUCUCCCAUCCCUCCGACAUGUCCAGUUUGCUCUGUGAUUCUGUGUUUAAUAAAAAAAAGCAAAGAAAAAUAUAUAUAUAUAUUAUGUAUAUGUAUAUAUGUAUAUGUACAUAUACGCGUUUGAUAAACGAGUUCAAGUAGUUUUUGCAUGAUCCCCGUAUGAAAGUGUCCCCCAUUUACUGAUUGUUGUACAUUAUAUAGGUACUUUAGAACAAUUUUUACAUUCACAUAUUCAUUUGUAAUAGUAAACGUUAUUAGAUUCUUGGAAGGAAAAUUGUAUUAUGGUUUUCAGUCUUAUAAAGAGGUAUGGUAAAUUUUCAUCGUUGGUUUUAAUUAUGUCGUUAAUAUGAUGGCAGAAUUAAGUCCACAA